AUCUAGCUGAAGAGUCCCAAAUAGGACUAAAAGCGCGUCCUGGAU
rnacentral:hammerhead_ribozyme from 1 species